rnacentral:rRNA from 1 species
GACGAACGCUGGCGGCGUGCCUAAUACAUGCAAGUCGUACGCUUCUUUUUCCACCGGAGCUUGCUCCGCCGAGAGAAGAGGAGUGGAGAACGGGUGAGUAACACGUGGGUAACCUGCCCAACAGAAGGGGAUAACGCUUGGAAACAGGUGCUAAUACCGAAUAACAAUCGAAACCGCAUGGUUUUGAUUUGAACGGCGCUUCCGGGUGUCACUGAUGGAUGGACCCGCGGUGCAUUAGUUAGUGGGGGAGGUAACGGCUCACCAAGGCCACGAUGCAUAGCCGACCUGAGAGGGUGAUCGGCCACAUUGGGACUGAGACACGGCCCAAACUCCUACGGGAGGCAGCAGUAGGGAAUCUUCGGCAAUGGACGAAAGUCUGACCGAGCAACGCCGCGUGAGUGAAGAAGGUUUUCGGAUCGUAAAACUCUGUUGUUAGAGAAGAAUAAGGAUGAGAGUAACUGUUCAUCCCUUGACGGUAUCUAACCAGAAAGCCACGGCUAACUACGUGCCAGCAGCCGCGGUAAUACGUAGGUGGCAAGCGUUGUCCGGAUUUAUUGGGCGUAAAGCGAGCGCAGGCGGUUUCUUAAGUCUGAUGUGAAAGCCCCCGGCUCAACCGGGGAGGGUCAUUGGAAACUGGGAGACUUGAGUGCAGAAGAGGAGAGUGGAAUUCCAUGUGUAGCGGUGAAAUGCGUAGAUAUAUGGAGGAACACCAGUGGCGAAGGCGGCUCUCUGGUCUGUAACUGACGCUGAGGCUCGAAAGCGUGGGGAGCAAACAGGAUUAGAUACCCUGGUAGUCCACGCCGUAAACGAU